rnacentral:rRNA from 1 species
GAUGAACGCUAGCGGCAGGCUUAACACAUGCAAGUCGAGGGGCAGCAGGGAUUUAGCUUGCUAAAUCCGCUGGCGACCGGCGCAAGGGUGCGUAACGCGUGAGCAACUUGCCCUUAUCAGGGGGAUAACCGGUGGAAACGCCGACUAAUACCCCAUAGUAUCACUUUAAGGCAUCUUUUAGUGAUUAAAGAAUUUCGGAUAAGGAUAGGCUCGCGUGACAUUAGCUAGAUGGCGGGGUAACGGCCCACCUAGCCCACGAUGGAUAGGGGUUCUGAGAGGAAGGUCCCCCACACUGGAACUGAGACACGGUCCAGACUCCUACGGGAGGCAGCAGUGAGGAAUAUUGGUCAAUGGGCGCAAGCCUGAACCAGCCAAGUAGCGUGAAGGAUGACUGCCCUAUGGGUUGUAAACUUCUUUAUACGGGAACAACCGCAGGUACGUGUACCUGUCUGCGUGUACCGUAUGAAUAAGCACCGGCUAACUCCGUG